rnacentral:rRNA from 1 species
UACGAAGGGGGCUAGCGUUGCUCGGAAUCACUGGGCGUAAAGCGCACGUAGGCGGACUCUUAAGUCGGUGGUGAAAUCCUGGAGCUCAACUCCAGAACUGCCUUCGAUACUGAGAGUCUUGAGUCCGAGAGAGGUGAGUGGAACUGCGAGUGUAGAGGUGAAAUUCGUUAGAUAUUAGGAAGAACACCAGUGGCGAAGGCGGCUCACUGGCCCGGUACUGACGCUCCAUGUGCGAAAAGCGUGGGGGAGCAAACAGG